CAGUAGCCACGGGAAUCCGUAGGUGGCAAGCGUUGUCCGGAAUUAUUGGGCGUAAAGGGCUCGCAGGCGGUUUCUUAAGUCUGAUGUGAAAGCCCCCGGCUCAACCGGGGAGGGUCAUUGGAAACUGGGAAACUUGAGUGCAGAAGAGGAGAGUGGAAUUCCACGUGUAGCGGUGAAAUGCGUAGAGAUGUGGAGGAACACCAGUGGCGAAGGCGACUCUCUGGUCUGUAACUGACGCUGAGGAGCGAAAGCGUGGGGAGCGAACAGGAUUAGAGACCCGCGUAGUCCCUGUCUCUUAUAC
rnacentral:rRNA from 1 species